rnacentral:rRNA from 1 species
AUUGAACGCUGGCGGAAUGCUUUACACAUGCAGGUCGAACGGUAGAGGGGGCAACCCCUCGAGAGUGGCGAACGGGUGAGUAAUAUAUCGGAACGUGCCCAGUCGUGGGGGAUAACGUGGCGAAAGUUACGCUAAUACCGCAUACGAUCUAAGGAUGAAAGCGGGGGAUCGCAAGACCUCGCGCGAUUGGAGCGGCCGAUAUCAGAUUAGGUAGUUGGUGGGGUAAAGGCUCACCAAGCCAACGAUCUGUAGCUGGUCUGAGAGGACGACCAGCCACACUGGAACUGAGACACGGUCCAGACUCCUACGGGAGGCAGCAGUGGGGAAUUUUGGACAAUGGACGCAAGUCUGAUCCAGCCAUUCCGCGUGCAGGAUGAAGGCCCUCGGGUUGUGAACUGCUUUUGUACGGAACGAAAAGGUCUCUCUUAAUACGGGGGACUCAUGACGGUACCGUAAGAAUAAGCACCGGCUAACUACGUGCCAGCCGCCGCCGUAA